rnacentral:lncRNA from 1 species
UUGUUGGGUUUUGAGUGUGUUUGUACUUCGCGUUGUGUUCGUUUAGGGUUUGACUAACAAUAAAUACAAUCGUGUGGUUCAACAUUCAUUCAAACAAGCAUAGAAUCAUAAAUACAAUAUACAUAGAAACGCGACGUCACAUCGUCAGUGGCGACGGCACACAUACGAACGCAUAACGUUCCCGCAAUCCUCGACAUCCUGGGGCCACCGAAAUGGAGAUUACUAAAGAAAAAUGAUAAAAUUUACAAUCACAAAAGAAUACAAAAAGAAUUUACUUUUACUGUCUCUGUAAUUUACUAUACUUAAAUUACUCCUGAAAUUUACUUUAACUAAUUCACAAUUGUCUUUCAUUUUGCCCCUCCGUCAUUGAAUGUAAUUGAUACGUAAAAGUCCUUUUUGGUUUACUUUUGGCGGGAACGAAGUAAAUAGUGCGUUUUACAAUUUUCACUAGUUGGUCCUUGUAAUUCCAACGGAU